GUGGCGAAUUCAUUUUCCUCAUCAGAAGUAAGUAGAUGUGUAAAUGUUGGACUUCUUUGGGCACAAGAUCAUGCAGCAGAUAAACCGAGCAUGACAGCCAUAGUUACUAUGUUAACAGAUUUUACAGCUAAUGCAAAUCUUGAUUGGCAUAAACGAUUUAACAUCAUCCUUGGAGUUGCUCGGGGGCUUCUUUAUCUCCAUCGGGAUUCCCGUUUAAGAAUUAGACAUCGAGAUUUGAAAGGGAGCAAUAUUCUUUUGGAUGAAAAUAUGAACCCAAAGAUAUCUGAUUUGGAUUGGCACGAAUUUUUCAAGGAACAGAAUACCUUGCAAAUACACUUAAGAGUUGUGGGAACAUUUAACAAAUGUAUAUCGCCAUGCUCCUCCUAUUGCAUAGAGGCGCUAUAUCUCUCCGGAAUAUGCAUUGAGUGGGAUAUUCUCUGAAAAGUCUGAUACAUUUAGCUUUGGGGUCCUGCUGCUAGAAAUCAUUAGCGGCAAAAGGAUUAAUAGCUUCGUCUAUAAUGAAGACCAUUUGGGCCUUCUUGCUUAUGCAUGGCAAUGAUGGAGUGAAAACAGGGGUUGAAGCACUUUCUGGAUCAUUUUCCUCAUCAGAAGCAAUUAGAUGUGUGAAUAUUGGACUUCUUUGCGUACAGGACAAAGCAGCAGAUAGGCAGAACAUGAAGGCUGUAGUGUCGAUGUUAAGUGGUGAGACAAAGCUUCCACAACCAAAAGAACCUACGUUUUUUUUCCAAAUUGCCUUCAACUGCCAUGUUCACUCAGAAAACCAACAUGCAUUGUCCAUAAAUGAGGUUACUGAAUCAAUUAUUCAAGGACUUUGACUUGCUCAAAACAACACCUAAUUCCAGAACAUGCAAUAGAU